AUAAAAUCUAAACCAAUACACUUCUCAUUACUUCCUCAAAGACAAAUCUAAAACCAAGAGUUGAAUCGAUUGGUGGUAAUAGGAAUACAGAGGGAGAAGUUCUGAGCACUUUUACCCACCAACACUGAACUCGAGGGCUCCUGGCACAAGCAUUCAUACACACGUACUCGUGUGCGCAGUAUUACGCACACACAGAGUUGCUAAGAGACGAAGUUCAAUUGUGUUAGUAAAUCCUUCAGAGCUCAAAUUAAUGUCAAGUUUCAGUACGGACAAACAAGACUGGAUUGGACAGAGAGGAGGGUAGAGAAAACAGAGGGCAGUAGCAGUAGUAAAAGUAUUGAGAGAAAAGAGGGAGUAGUAGUAUUUGAGAGAACACAACAGAGAGCAAGAGGAGAACGAUGUUGAUGAAGAGGAGAAAGUGGAGGAAGAGGGAGAGCAUCCACAUGAUGACACUGAAUUAAACUGAGAUACUUUUUCCUUUAAAAAAAUGUAUGGAAAUCAUUCUGUCUUAAAGACACUGUCCGUAUUCUACUGCAGAGAGCAUCAACUAGAUUCAACCGCAGGUUCAGAUCGUGUGUUUCAUCUACAGCAGGGAGCAUCAACUAGAUUCAACCGCAGGUUCAGAUCGUGUGUUUUAUCUACAGCAGGGAGCAUCAACUAGAUUCAACCGCAGGUUCAGAUCGUGUGUUUUAUCUACAGCAGGGAGCAUCAACUAGAUUCAACCGCAGGUUCAGAUCGUGUGUUUUAUCUACAGCAGGGAGCAUCAACUAGAUUCAACCGCAGGCAGAUUAUUAUUUUUUUUAACUGACGGUCAGGGUGCCAGAACAUAAUUACAAAUUACUUGUACAGACAUAAUAAUUGACUAUAAAACAUCAUUAUUUCAAACGUUGGUUACAUUUGUAUUACGAUCACAUGUCAACCGCAAGUUGGUGGAACCCUGCUAUACCGUAACAGUAUAGCAGGGUAACGGUAACAGUCUAGGUAGGUCUAGGUGUAAUCAGUGUCAGAACCCUGCUAUACUGUAUCCAUGGUAACAGUCUAGGUAGGUCUAGGUGUAAUCAGUGUCAGAACCCUGCUAUACUGUAUCCACGGUAACAGUAUGGGUAGGUCUAGGUAUAAUCAGUGUCAGAACCCUGCUAUACUGUAUCCACGGUAACAGUAUGGGUAGGUCUAGGUAUAAUCAGUGUCAGAACCCUGCUAUACUGUAUCCACGGUAACAGUCUAGGUAGGUCUAGGUGUAAUCAGUGUCAGAACCCUGCUAUUCCGUAUCCACGGUAACAGUCUAGCUAGGUCUAGGUGUAAUCAGUGUCAGAACCCUGCUAUUCCGUAUCCACGGUAACAGUCUAGGUAGGUCUAGGUGUAAUCAGUGUCAGAACCCUGCUAUACCGUAUCCACGGUAACAGUCUAGGUAGGUCUAGGUGUAAUCAGUGUCAGAACCCUGCUAUACCGUAUCCACGGUAACAGUCUGGGUAGGUCUAGGUGUAAUCAGUGUUUACCCUUCAUUAAAACACACAUCUUUCAUAGUGUGGUCCACUGCUCCCUUUCUAUCUAGUCACAUGCUUCUCAUAUUUCACUAGUCUUAUGAAAACUACAAACAAAAAUCCUAGGAAAAACGCAACA
ensembl:lncRNA